GACCUCAAAUCAGGUAGGACUACCCGCUGAACUUAAGCAUAUCAAUAAGCGGAGGAAAAGAAACUAACAAGGAUUCCCCUAGUAACUGCGAGUGAAGCGGGAAAAGCUCAAAUUUAAAAGCUGGCGGUCUUUGGCCGUCCGCAUUGUAAUCUAGAGAAGUGUUACCCGCGUUGGACCGUGUACAAGUCUCCUGGAAUGGAGCGUCAUAGAGGGUGACAAUCCCGUCUUUGACACGGACUCCCAAGGCUUUGUGGUGCGCUCUCAAAGAGUCGAGUUGUUUGGGAAUGCAGCUCUAAAUGGGUGGUAAAUUCCAUCUAAAGCUAAAUAUUGGCGAGAGACCGAUAGCGAACAAGUACCGUGAGGGAAAGAUGAAAAGAACUUUGGAAAGAGAGUUAAACAGUACGUGAAAUUGCUGAAAGGGAAACGCUUGAAGUCAGUCGCGUCGUCCGGAGAUCAACCUUGCUUUUGCUGGGCGUACUCUCCGGUUGACGGGCCAGCAUCAGUUUUGGCCACUGGAAAAGGGCGGAGGAAAUGUGGCAUCCUCGGAUGUGUUAUAGUCUUCCGUCGUAUACAGUGGCUGGGACUGAGGAACUCAGCACGCCGCAAGGCCGGGAUUUAUCCACGUACGUGCUUAGGAUGCUGGCAUAAUGGCUUUAAUCGACCCGUCUUGAAACACGGACCAAGGAGUCUAACAUGCCUGCGAGUGUUUGGGUGGAAAACCCGAGCGCGUAAUGAAAGUGAAAGUUGAGAUCCCCUGUCGUGGGGAGCAUCGACGCCCGGACCAGACCUUUUGUGACGGAUCUGCGGUAGAGCAUGUAUGUUGGGACCCGAAAGAUGGUGAACUAUGCCUGAAUAGGGUGAAGCCAGAGGAAACUCUGGUGGAGGCUCGUAGCGAUUCUGACGUGCAAAUCGAUCGUCAAAUUUGGGUAUAGGGGCGAAAGACUAAUCGAACCAUCU
rnacentral:rRNA from 1 species